GGGAAUGUAGGUUAUCUUGGUAUACUGUCAGCCUUGGGUACUGGAGAUCAUGGGUUCAACUCCCACCAUUCCCA
rnacentral:tRNA from 1 species